UACGUAGGGUGCAAGCGUUGUCCGGAAUUAUUGGGCGUAAAGAGCUCGUAGGCGGUCUGUCGCGUCGGCUGUGAAAACCCGAGGCUCAACCUCGGGCCUGCAGUCGAUACGGGCAAACUAGAGUACUGCAGGGGGAGACUGGAAUUCCUGGUGUAGCGGUGAAAUGCGCAGAUAUCAGGAGGAACACCGGUGGCGAAGGCGGUUCUCUGGGCAUGUCCUGACGCUGAGGAGCGAAAGUGUGGGGAGCGAACAGG
rnacentral:rRNA from 1 species